CUCUACCUACGGGGGGCAGCAGUGAGGAAUAUUGGUCAAUGGGCUUACGCCUGAACCAGCCAAGUCGCGUGAGGGAAGACUGCCCUAUGGGUUGUAAACCUCUUUUGUCAGGGAGCAACGCCGGCUACGUGUAGCCGGACUGAGAGUACCUGAAGAAAAAGCAUCGGCUAACUCCGGGCCAGCAGCCGCGGUAAUACGGAGGAUGCGAGGGUUAUCGGGAUUUAUUGGGUUUAAAGGGUGCGUAGGCGGA
rnacentral:rRNA from 1 species